rnacentral:rRNA from 1 species
GACGAACGCUGGCGGCGUGCCUAAUACAUGCAAGUAGAACGCUGAAGAGAAGAGCUUGCUCUUCUUGGAUGAGUUGCGAACGGGUGAGUAACGCGUAGGUAACCUGCCUUGUAGCGGGGGAUAACUAUUGGAAACGAUAGCUAAUACCGCAUAACAAUGGAUGACACAUGUCAUUUAUUUGAAAGGGGCAAUUGCUCCACUACAAGAUGGACCUGCGUUGUAUUAGCUAGUAGGUGAGGUAACGGCUCACCUAGGCGACGAUACAUAGCCGACCUGAGAGGGUGAUCGGCCACACUGGGACUGAGACACGGCCCAGACUCCUACGGGAGGCAGCAGUAGGGAAUCUUCGGCAAUGGGGGCAACCCUGACCGAGCAACGCCGCGUGAGUGAAGAAGGUUUUCGGAUCGUAAAGCUCGGUUGUAAGUCAAGAACGAGUGUGAGAGUGGAAAGUUCACACUGUGACGGUAGCUUACCAGAAAGGGACGGCUAACUACGUG